AUGGGGGCGGGGGUAUCCCAGGCCAGCCUGGCCCCAAGAGGCCACCAAGAAGCCCACGCUUGUGCCUUCCCCCCCUCAGGUGACCAGUGGGGUCAAGCCCUGGCUGUACGAGGGGCCUCUACCCCUGCCCCCCGCACGGCCGCCCCCUGCCCAGGCAGCCCCCAUCCACACACACACAUACCCCGGUUCCCACCAGGUGCCUGCCAGCUACUACCAGCCCACCCCCAACCGAGGCCUUCCCAGGGCCCACUGCCCAGGCUCAGGCCCUCCCCAGGACCCUGGCCGGACCCCCAGAGCCCUCCUCAGCCACCCGGCUGGUCCACCCUAUGGCUCCUCAGCGCACCUACUGCAGCCUCCGCCAGCGGCUGUGAUUCACACCUGCCACCUGGCCUUGUCCCUUGUCCCUUGUCCCUGCCUGCCCUCCAUCCUGCUGACCUUCCCCUCCCGCCUCUCCCGACCCCACUGCACGAACCUCUCCUCGCCCCAGCAGCCCUGCCUCCACUUCCCGGCCACGUCCUCCUGGGACCACCCAGCAGUCUGGGUCCCUGGAGGGCAGGGCCACGUCCCCUUCAGAUCUCCCCAAGGAAGGGUGCAUUUCAGAGGGUCGGUGCACACAAGUGGACCGCGAGGCCCGACAAGAGGACAGGACAGCUCGGGUGGACCAGGUCGGCAGGUCAGACAGGACCACCUGCGUUCAUCGCCCACCACCCGGCGUGCGUGGGAACCCAGCAGGGACACAGCCCGGUGGCUCACUCGUGCCGCAAGGCGGAUGUCCAGACCAGGUGCCUGUGCCAAGGCGGUGGGGACCCGAGGCCCUGCCCCGCCAUGCCCACCCCUGGGCCCGGGAGGACUCGGCCCAGCCUGGAGGUCAGACCACAAAGCUCUCGCGCUGUCCUGGCACCUGUCUUGGAGGGGACAGGGAGGGGCUCAUCUUGUGUCCCAAACUGCACCCUUGCUGAUGGGCGGGUCCCAGGCUUCACCGCUCCCUAUAGGGCCCCAACCCCCCACCCC
rnacentral:lncRNA from 1 species